GGAGCUGUGCCUGAACUAAAGGGCUACUUUGAUAGAGUAGACUAUGAGGGUUAAAGCCCCUCCAACUCCU
rnacentral:tRNA from 1 species